AGACGGUAGAGAUUCCGUCCCCACCGAAAGAUUUAAGCGCAGGGACACUUUUAGAAGGUCGGAGCCAGGUGUUGGUUCUGGUAGAGAUCGAGGGAAGAUUAGUACCGAAGUCCGGCUGGAUAAGAGGCGAGAAAAGCUGCGUGUAUAUCUAAGGUGCCCGUACCGCAAACCGACACAGGUAGGUAGGAAGAAGAUUCUAAGGCCAACGGGAGAAGGGUUGUUAAGGAACUCGGCAAGUUGACCCCGUAACUUCGGAAUAAGGGGUGCUCAUGAAAGUGAGCCGCAGAGAAUAGGCCCAGGCAACUGUUUACCAAAAACACAGGUUUGUGCUAAAUCGAAAGAUGACGUAUACGAGCUGACGCCUGCCCGGUGCUGGAAGGUUAAAAGGAGAUGUGCAAGCAUUGAAUUGAAGCCCCAGUGAACGGCGGCCGUAACUAUAACGGUCCUAAGGUAGCGAAAUUCCUUGUCAGGUAAGUUCUGACCCGCAUGAAAGGCGUAAUGUUCUGGGCACUGUCUCAACAGCCCGCCCGGCGAAAUUGUAGUACCGGUGAAGAUGCCGGUUACCCGCGACAAGACGGAAAGACCCCAUGGAGCUUUACUGUAGCCUAAUAUUGGGUUUCGGUGUUGCAUGCACAGGAUAGAUGGGACGCUAGGAAGUGAGUGCUUUGGCAUUCAUGGAGCGGCCGUUGGGAUACCAUCCUUGCGACAUUGGAAUUCUAACCUGCGCCUUUGAAUCAAGGCGGGGGACAUUGUUAGGUGGGCAGUUUGACUGGGGCGGUCGCCUCCUAAAGAGUAGCGGAGGCGUUCAAAGGUUGGCUCGUCCUGGACGGAAACCAGGAGAGAGAGUGCAAACGCAAAAGCCAGCCUGACUGCGAGACUGACGGGUCGAGCAGAGACGAAAGUCGGAGUUAGUGAUCCGGUGGUAUGUGAGUGGAAAUGCCAUCGCUCAACGGAUAAGAGUUACCCUGGAUAACAGGCUGAUCUCCCCCAAGAGUCCACAUCGACGGGGAGGUUUGGCACCUCGAUGUCGGCUCAUCGCAUCCUGGGGCUGUAUUCGGUCCCAAGGGUUUGGCUGUUCGCCAAUUAAAGCGGUACGCGAGCUGGGUUCAGAACGUCGUGAGACAGUUCGGUCCCUAUCUGUCGUGGGCGCAGGAUAUUUGAAAGGCGCUGUCCCUAGUACGAGAGGACCGGGAUGGACGAACCUCUGGUGCACCAGUUGUCACGCCAGUGGCACAGCUGGGCAGCUAUGUUCGGAUCGGAUAAACGCUGAAAGCAUCUAAGCGUGAAGCCGGCCUUAAGAUAAGAUAUCCCACUGAGAUAAUCAGGUAAGACCCCUUGAAGACUACAAGGUCGAUAGGCACAAUGUGUAAGUG
rnacentral:rRNA from 1 species